rnacentral:lncRNA from 1 species
UCUCUCUCUAAUCUCUCUGAACCCUUCACCACCACCACCACCAUCACCCCACAACCUUCACCACCGCCACCCACCCCACCCCACCUCAGCCUUCACCGCCUCCACCCCCACCUACCGACCACCCCAACCCUACUGCGCCAACCAUCACCACCGUUUCUCGCAGCGGCCGCAAGUUGCAGCGGUACAAUCAAGGCCAACGUCAAGUCAUUGGAUGUAUAUAUUACAGAUUAGCAAAAUGCGAUCAGAUGUGAAUUUAUAAGAUGCAUUAGAAGUUCUUGUGAUCAGUGCACAAAGAAAAGGCAAAGGAAUGUUGUUCCCUAAGGUAUUUACAAGCCACUGUUAACCACCGCACCACUACAGACAACCAACAAUCCGGGAAGCAUGUUUACACAGUGGGAGAUAUGAAUAAACAUGGGAUUUUCAGAUGCAAAUAUUUUAUUUUAGGACGAAAAAGUGCAAAUUUGGUCCGAUUGUAUGGUGGUUGUAGAUGAUGAAGGGAGGUAGUGGUGGCGGUGAAGGGUGGUGGUGGAGGUGGAGGAUGGUGGUGAUAAGUGCCCCUUGA